rnacentral:rRNA from 1 species
UACGUAGGUGGCAAGCGUUGUCCGGAUUUACUGGGUGUAAAGGGCGUGUAGCCGGGCUGACAAGUCAGAUGUGAAAUCCGGGGGCUCAACCCCCGAACUGCAUUUGAAACUGUUGGUCUUGAGUAUCGGAGAGGCAGGCGGAAUUCCUAGUGUAGCGGUGAAACGCGUAGAUAUUAGGAGGAACACCAGUGGCGAAGGCGGCCUGCUGGAUGACAACUGACGGUGAGGCGCGAAAGCGUGGGGAGCAAACAGG